CAUUAUCUGCAACCGCUUAUCCUCCUCAUCAGGGACACGUCGGGGAUUGGAGCCUAUCACAGCUGACUUUGGGCGAGAGGCCGAGUACACCCUGGACAAGUCACGAACAACCGACAACCUGGGGAGGACCCACGCAGACACGGGGCCCUCAGCUGAGAGUCGCCUUUGUCACCGCAAGCAAUCGAUACGCUGGCGCUGCCGAGGCUAACAAGGGGCUUCGUCUGCUGUGGCCAGCACUCCUGCCUGUCACCAGAUGCUCAAGGCUCUACGGCUCUGAGGCUCAGCUCCCCUCCGUGCUAACGUGGCUUGGGCCCACCCCGCCCUCAACACAGCUGUAUUUUAUACCUAAUUACACAUGUCUGGAGCCCACAGUGAGGACUACGAGGCUUUGGGGAAUUGUUCCUACGAAGAUGAGCCGAGGGGACUGUUGGUAUCUCUCUGACAGGGAUUUAGUCAUGCAUACAGCAACUGUACGAUAUUUGGAAAGUGACUCCGUGACCCAGACUCAGUCUGCCUCUGGUGUUUUACAUCGCUGUUGAAUGCUGGGAUUGUGAGGAGCUGCAGAGUUUAAUGGCCACAUGAUGAAUCGUCCUGCGAAGCCAAAUUAGAGUAAAGUACGAGGCACCAAGGGCUUCAUUCCACUGGUAACCCAAAAUAAAACAGGACCCAGGGAAACC